rnacentral:rRNA from 1 species
GAGUUUGAUCGUGGCUCAGAGUGAACGCUGGCGGCAGGCCUAACACAUGCAAGUCGAACGGCAGCGCAGCAGUAGCAAUACUGUGGGCGGCGAGUGGCGGACGGGUGAGGAAUACAUCGGAAUCUACCUUGUCGUGGGGGAUAACGUAGGGAAACUUACGCUAAUACCGCAUACGAACUACGGUUGAAAGCGGCGGACCGCAAGGCGUCGCGCGAUUGGAUGAGCCGAUGUCCGAUUAGCUAGUUGGCGGGGUACAGGCCCACCAAGGCGACGAUCGGUAGCUGGUCUGAGAGGAUGAUCAGCCACACUGGAACUGAGACACGGUCCAGACUCCUACGGGAGGCAGCAGUGGGGAAUAUUGGACAAUGGGCGCAAGCCUGAUCCAGCCAUGCCGCGUGUGUGAAGAAGGCCUUC